rnacentral:misc_RNA from 1 species
AGAGUGGCGAUCUUCGUCUGCUGGUCCAGGUGGAUCAGCUUGAGAGGCAUCGGGCUGGAACCUAGCAACAUUCGGCCGCAUUGUCAGUUCGGAAACGGUACGGGGCCAAACGGCUGCCUGCGCCCAGUCAAAUGGCCGCGCGACGGAACAUCGCCGGGACACUGGUACCGUUGCUGCUGCGACUCGCUCUACCUCCCUCAGCUUCUCGACGUCGGGGACCCUACCACGCCCUCAUAGCAGCACGGCGAUCUUUACCCUACCCGCCGGGGAGUCACGACCCACGAGGCGCCCUCACGUCUCGCUGCGUGAGCACGCCCACUCACUAGCCUCGACUC